GACGAACGCUGGCGGCGUGCUUAACACAUGCAAGUCGAACGGAAAGGCCCAGCUUGCUGGGUGCUCGAGUGGCGAACGGGUGAGUAACACGUGGGUGAUCUGCCUCUAACUUCGGGAUAAGCUUGGGAAACUGGGUCUAAUACCGGAUAGGACAAUCGUUUAGUGUCGGUUGUGGAAAGUUUUUUCGGUUAGGGAUGAGCCCGCGGCCUAUCAGCUUGUUGGUGGGUAAUGGCCUACCAAGGCGUCGACGGGUAGCCGGCCUGAGAGGGUGGACGGCCACAUUGGGACUGAGAUACGGCCCAGACUCCUACGGGAGGCAGCAGUGGGGAAUAUUGCACAAUGGGCGCAAGCCUGAUGCAGCGACGCCGCGUGGGGGAUGACGGCCUUCGGGUUGUAAACCUCUUUCGACAGGGACGAAGCUUUGGUGACGGUACCUGUAUAAGAAGCACCGGCUAACUACGUG
rnacentral:rRNA from 1 species